rnacentral:tRNA from 1 species
GCCCGAGUAGCUCAAAAUUUUAAGCUUUGUUCUUAGAUUGGCUAAGCACGGUAGAGCAAAUGGCUGUUAUUAUUCAAAAACUUUAGAUUUUUCUAAUAAAUCAAUUAACAGACACCAUUGGGUCGUGGGUUCAAAUCCCUCCUCGGGCG